GUUAGUUUGUAGCUCAGUUAGCAGCCUCUGAAAGUUCCAGAGGUCACUUUGACAACAUGUGAUACAGUACGGAGGUGAUUUACAGCAGCUCAGACCAGAAUGAUGACUCAAACCAAGAAUGUUUUGAUGUUUUGCCACCACUGUUGGAGCAGCUGAGAACUUCACUGGUUCUUCCUGAGACAUCGUUGUCAAAAACAACAUUACGGAGGAAAGUAAAUAUGACAGUAGUGAUGAAUUGUUUCCUGCAUGACACACAGACACACCUGCCAUGUGAAACCAGACACACCUUCCUGCAGCAGCAGAGGAGUGGAGUGUUUCCAACAUACCAGUCCCUUCAUGAGAUCCCAUUUACCUUCUCAGCAUCUCCUCGGG